GCUUUUCUACGGUAAGCAACAUGUGCAACCAUCCCACAUAUUAUAUUUUUAUACUGACGUGGCAAUAUUCGAGUAGGUGGAAAAGUUUGACCAUGAUUUUGUCAUAGUGGUAGAUCCAAACCCUCUUUUAUCAAUAAUACAAUUGGGAGUAUAUUUGAAGGUUCAAAGAGCUAGCAUGGAGGAUAUUCCGAGCAAAAUGAGGC
rnacentral:misc_RNA from 1 species